rnacentral:rRNA from 1 species
GACGUAGGGCGCGAGCGUUGUCCGGAUUUAUUGGGCGUAAAGAGCUCGUAGGCGGCUUGUCGCGUCCGCUGUGAAAACUCGGGGCUUAACCCCGAGCCUGCAGUGGAUACGGGCAGACUAGAGGUAGGUAGGGGAGAAUGGAAUUCCCGGUGUAGCGGUGAAAUGCGCAGAUAUCGGGAGGAACACCGGUGGCGAAGGCGGUUCUCUGGGCCUUACCUGACGCUGAGGAGCGAAAGCGUGGGGAGCGAACAGG